GGGCGAAUAGCUCAGUUGGGAGAGCACUUGCCUUACAAGCAAGGGGGCACAGGUUCGAGCCCUGUUUCGCCCACCA
rnacentral:tRNA from 1 species